AGCGAACGCUGGCGGCAGGCCUAACACAUGCAAGUCGAACGAACCCUUCGGGGUUAGUGGCGGACGGGUGAGUAACACGUGGGAACGUGCCUUUAGGUUCGGAAUAACUCAGGGAAACUUGUGCUAAUACCGAAUGUGCCCUUCGGGGGAAAGAUUUAUCGCCUUUAGAGCGGCCCGCGUCUGAUUAGCUAGUUGGUGAGGUAAUGGCUCACCAAGGCUACGAUCAGUAGCUGGUCUGAGAGGAUGACCAGCCACAUUGGGACUGAGACACGGCCCAAACUCCUACGGUAGGCAGCAGUGGGGAAUUUCGCGCAAUGGGCGAAAGCCUGACGCAGCCAUGCCGCGUGGAUGAUGAAGGUCUUAGGAUUGUAAAAUCCUUUCACCGGUGAAGAUAAUGACUGUAGCCGGAGAAGAAGCCCCGGCUAACUUCGUGCCAGCAGCCGCCGUAACAC
rnacentral:rRNA from 1 species